rnacentral:rRNA from 1 species
AACUUAAGCAUAUCAAUAAGCGGAGGAAAAGAAACUAACAAGGAUUCCCCUAGUAACUGCGAGUGAAGCGGGAAAAGCUCAAAUUUAAAAUCUGGCGGUCUUUGGCCGUCCGAGUUGUAAUCUAGAGAAGUGUUAUCCGCGCUGGACCGUGUACAAGUCUCCUGGAAUGGAGCGUCAUAGAGGGUGAGAAUCCCGUCUUUGACACGGACUGCCAGGGCUUUGUGAUGCGCUCUCAAAGAGUCGAGUUGUUUGGGAAUGCAGCUCAAAAUGGGUGGUAAAUUCCAUCUAAAGCUAAAUAUUGGCGAGAGACCGAUAGCGAACAAGUACCGUGAGGGAAAGAUGAAAAGAACUUUGGAAAGAGAGUUAAACAGUACGUGAAAUUGCUGAAAGGGAAACGCUUGAAGUCAGUCGCGUUGGCCGGGGAUCAACCUUGCUUUUGCUGGGCGUACUUUCCGGUCGACGGGUCAGCAUCAAUUUUGACCGUUGGAUAAAGGCUGAGGGAAUGUGGCUCCUUCGGGAGUGUUAUAGCCCUUGGUCGCAUACAACGAUUGGGAUUGAGGAACUCAGCACGCCGCAAGGCCGGGUACUUGUACCACGUUCGUGCUUAGGAUGCUGGCAUAAUGGCUUUAAUCGACCCGUCUUGAAACACGGACCAAGGAGUCUAACAUGCCUGCGAGUGUUUGGGUGGAAAACCCGAGCGCGUAAUGAAAGUGAAAGUUGAGAUCCCUGUCGCGGGGAGCAUCGACGCCCGGACCAGACCUUUUGUGACGGAUCCGCGGUAGAGCAUGUAUGUUGGGACCCGAAAGAUGGUGAACUAUGCCUGAAUAGGGUGAAGCCAGAGGAAACUCUGGUGGAGGCUCGUAGCGAUUCUGACGUGCAAAUCGAUCGUCAAAUUUGGGUAUAGGGGCGAAAGACUAAUCGAACCAUCUAGUAGCUGGUUCCUGCCGAAGUUUCCCUCAGGA